rnacentral:rRNA from 1 species
UAGGGAAUUUUCGGCAAUGGGGGGAACCCUGACCGAGCAACGCCGCGUGAAGGAAGAAGGAAUUCGUUCUGUAAACUUCUGUUAUAAAGGAAGAAAGACGGAUGGAGGAAAUGACAUCCGAGUGACGGUACUUUAUGAGAAAGCCACGGCUAACUACGUGC